rnacentral:rRNA from 1 species
UUUAUGAAGAGUUUGAUCCUGGCUCAGGAUGAACGCUAGCGGUGCGCCUAACACAUGCAAGUCGAGCGAUAUAGCGGCGAACGGGUGAGUAA